rnacentral:rRNA from 1 species
GACGUAGGGCGCGAGCGUUGUCCGGAUUUAUUGGGCGUAAAGAGCUCGUAGGCGGCUUGUCGCGUCGACCGUGAAAACUCGCAGCUCAACUGCGAGCCUGCGGUCGAUACGGGCAGACUGGAGGUAUGCAGGGGAGAACGGAAUUCCUGGUGUAGCGGUGAAAUGCGCAGAUAUCAGGAGGAACACCGGUGGCGAAGGCGGUUCUCUGGGCAUGUCCUGACGCUGAGGAGCGAAAGUGUGGGGAGCGAACAGG